UUUGGUAAAAACUCAAACCCGCCCUAAUUUCUUCCCCCUUUCUCACUCUCGCACCCGCUCUCGCCACCAUCUCGUUCCCGUAUUCCCUGUCAAUCUCUCUUCCUCAUUCUCUCAAUAUGAAACGCAGACACCAGCCCUCAAUUGUUUGAGAGAGGCUUAAUUUCUGGGAGUCUUCUUCUCCAUUAUUUCAAGGUAGGCUUAAUUGUUUUCUGUUGUUGAUGCAUAAUCGGUUUACAUUAGCUUGCUAGCAUUUAAAUAUGGCUCUUGUAUAAUACUUAUGUGACUUUUAAAUCAAUGUAUGUUUAUGCUUUUGUAACUAUUUUAGUGAAUCCAGUAGAUGUCAAUUUGUGUAAAGCCCGAUUCUGUUGAAGUUAUUAUAUUGAAGAUGUUUAUGCUUUUGUAACUAUUACAUAUGGCUCUUGUAUAAUACUUAUGUGACUUUUUUAUGGGUUCUUAUAUUGAAGUUAUUUGUAGUUCUUUUGCAGUGUUCUAAUUUGAUAUGGAAUUGGAAUUUUGGAUUGAUUGAUUGUGUAGUAGUUUGAACAAUAAGAGGAUUCUUUAUUUUUGAUUUUUAAUCCUUUUCCAAUCGGGUUUAGUUUCUUUACAAAUUCUUGUAUAUUUGUUGAUAUGCAGUGGAGACUAAGAUAACUUCAAAUUUUCAUCUUCUGCAGUAGGCUCUUCUCAAGUCACUUCGAAAUUUAGUAAAUCUGCUAUCAUCAACGACUAAACGGUACCUCUCUAUAAUGGAUCUACAACCUCCUCAUUCUGCAAACUGACUACAUCUCAUGUUCCUAAAAUUAUAUUGUUACUGUGCGUGUACUCCCUCCCUUCACAUUGGUUUCUGCAUCGUUACAUUCUAGAGAGAGAUUGCAAGAAUGUUUUUGUGGAAAAUCACAAAAAUAAAGGCAGCUUAAUCGGCUAUAUUUGUUGCUUAUAUAAUUAAGUUGAUUGUUAUUUCCUUAUUCAGUUCUGAUUGUAAGUUGAAGACCUUCCUUUUGUAUCCCUAACUUUGUUGUAUAUAUUGAGGCAUUGUAUAUCGAAGAUAACAUAAGAAUAGGAAUUAUUUUCUAAAAUAUCCACUGGCGAAGUGUUUUUCCUUUGGUAUCAAAAGAAGCCAAAAUAUCUUGGACUUGGGCUUUAAUAGAUGUUAGUGUCCGGAUUUGUUAUUUACCCAUUUAGGGAGAUUUGGUCGGUGAUGUCUCUCUAAUAAGUAGUGUCAAUAAUAGAAAGUUGUUUUCUAUAUUAUGGUAGUGCCUAUUGAUAUGAUGCGAUUAGAUUGUUUCUAGAUUUUUGUAUUUCCUCAUGUCUUACUUUUGUAUUGUAGCUGGUUCGCAUUCUGCUGUGAUGCUCUCUAUCAAGCAUGCGUAAUCCUUGAUGAAUAUUAUUCUGUAUUGAUAGAGUUUAAACUUUGGGAUUUUUCUUCUUAUUUUUGGCGGCCUUUAAGGGUUUGAAGAGUGAUUAUGUGUGAAUCUAAAAUUAUAGGGUUUAAUUAGGGACUCAAACAGUCAAUUGUCAUUUUGUAAUUGGCUAUUGAAAUUUGAAUUUGAAAAAAUGCUUGUUGGCUUGUAAAUGUCUUGAUCAAGGUAAAAGUUUUUCUAGCUGAUAGUUGUAUUAUUUUAUCCAAGACAUGAUUCUUAUUUUUUGAGGAGUAGAUCAAUCUCAGUGAUCACUACUUAAUGAAAAGUAUUGUAUAUCUCUUUCGUGCCUUGAAUUUAUUAUAGAAUCGACUUUGUAGAUUUCCUUUUCUUUCCUUGAUUUAGGAAGAAUCUAGGCACGAUUUUUGGUAUAGCUUUCUUCACAUGCUUCUAUAUAUUUACCCUUUGAGUUUAGAACUUGGCCUGUAUAUCUCUGGCCUUUAAGCAAUAAUAGAACCACAACUGAAGUUUAUAAUUUGAAUGUUCUAAAGGGAAGAUGAAUGUUUACAAAAUUUCUUAUUUAAUCCAUGCAUGUACUACUACAAUUAUCACUUAAUGAGCGGGGUUUAAGCAAUAAGCCGAAAAUUCCAUUCGAGAUGAUGUUGUUGCUCGAAUUUUAGGUCCCGAGCGUCGUGGACGAGUAAGGGGACUUGGACUUGGGUUACACCAUCAAAAGUAGAUGGAAAUACACAAAGCAGUGAGAAAGUGAGAGAACUUGAAAGCAAAUUACAAACUCAAUCAGUAAGGAUGGAAGCACUCGAAGAAAAGGUUGGAGCACUUCUAAAGUUAUCUCGAGUCAUACUUUGCUAUUACAUAUAGUAUGAUAGCGUAACUUAAUAUAUCUUAACAUUUCAAUAAGUUUUAAAUUUUUGUAUGAUUUUGCAGAAUCAAAAUAAGAAUGUAGAGGACAUGAGUUCACGUACUUUUACUCCACAGGUUUUUGUAUCGUAUAUUAUUUGUUCAAUAUAAAUUCAGACUAUAUCAUACUAGUUUUAAAAAUAUUUUUAUUUUACUACGAAUUUGUAGUCCCAACAAGGAAGUGGUAUGGAGGGAGUUAUUGUACCAGUGGAAAAUGGAAAGUGUCAACUAUUGCACUGGUACAUGUUUGAAGAGGAAAUUGUAGGCGAAGGGAAGAUUGCAUCAAUAGACCCAAGUGCAAAGGUGCAUCACGUGCCACUAGGACGAGAUUGUUGGAAGGUUUGGGUUGACGAGGUGUACAUGAGUCAUUUGCCCUUAUAGACCAACGGAUGAAUUUCGAAUUCUUAGUGACGCCAUA
rnacentral:lncRNA from 1 species